UGUCCUCUUGCUUUGAUUUUCAUUCAUAACAGUUUGACUCUUGACAAGCUAGAUGGAGGCUUGGAAUGAAGCGGGUCAAACGGAGCAAGUACGAAAAGGAAAGCGUAAUUUGGAUGCGAGGUAAGUAAAGCUUACGCCCUCUUUUGUAAGUUAUGUGUUUAUUCAUAGGUUGUAAAUACGACAAAAGCUAUAUUUGAAAUAUGGUUCCGACACGAAAUGAAACGGGUCGGGACAUAUAAAAUAAUGAUAAACCAUGUUUAAUGGUAAAAUGGGCGAAAUGGUAAUUGGUCACGAGAUGACAUAAGCCUAAACGAAUAAAAAGAGUAAAACGACGAAUUAGUCAUGUGUAGACGAAAAAGAGUUGAAGUUUAAAACAACACCAUUUAAUAUUAAGCACAAAAUAUUUGGUAGUCUAGACCAAACGGGUCAAAUGGUAAUAUUUAUACCAUUUGAUAAUUAACGACUAAUAAGUGUAUGUCGAGUCUCAUGCUCGCAGGGUAAUUGGUUUAUGAAUUAGCGAGGCUAUGAAUUAGCAUAUUAUAGAGACAAGGUCUUAAAACGGGUCAAUAUGUUGACCCGAGCCAGGUACGCUUAUAUAUAUAGAUGUAUAGUUAAAAGUGUAUAACUUCCCUUCACGGGUCAAAAGGAGUAGAUAGGUAAAACGGGUUAAGAAUUCAUAAGAAACCCGUAAUUUGAACCUUGCACAUUAGUAAAUUGAUAUAACGUGAUAUGCAUGAUAUUUUGAAUAUGAUUGAUUGAUCUUUGAUAUUGGUUAAUAUGUAACAUAUUAGAAUUUCGAGAAACUAAUGUAUUGGUAUGUUAGAAAGAGCGAAAUCCGAGAUUUAGGCUUGAGUAUAAUGAACAAAGCAACCAAAAGAUGGAUUUACAGGGACUACCGUAAGUUACGGUAGUACCGUAAGUUACGGUAGCGGUCAGGAGCUUACGGUGUGAGUCUACUGGUUUACGAUGGACCAUUAUUGGAAAUUGACCACCGUAACUUACGGUGAAACCGUAAGUUACGGUAGGGCCUGAAUGUUUAUAAAUUUUAUAUAAUUGUAAAUUUUCAAAUUCAUUUCGAUCGUAGUUUCGAUCAAGUAUCAUUUCUAAGCAUUCUAAUAUAAAUGUUUAUGUAAACAUUUCAGUCUUAGGUACUCAAGGAUUAUGGGUGACGAUCAAGCAACUUUUGAAGGACCGAACACAUACUCUUGAAGCUUCCGCAUAAAUCAACUCGGUUUAAACAAUGUUUAUGAUGUAAACUGUUUGCUAAACAACUUUUGAAAUGUUUAAACGACGUACUCAAUUAUGUUAUGUUGUAUUAUUUUAAAAUUGUAACGUUUAAACAAACCCGUAUUUUUACAAAGUAUAUGUAGUCAUAAUUACAUGUUGUUUGUCGUAUACUUUACAAAAACCAUUAAAUAAUGACAAGGGUGUUACAAAUUGGUAAUCAGAGCUCAUGGUUAAAGAGUAAAUUGUGUUCGGUUCGAGGCUUGAUCGCAAAUCCGGUAAGUACAUGUAUAUUAAUGGUUUGUUAUGUGUUGAAAUGUUGUGAACAACACAUAGGGUUAUCGUGUGAUACACGUUACCUCAAUUAAAUGAUAAAUAUAGUUGACAAAAUUGCGCGCGUUGACGCGUAUAGUAGAAAAGCCUUGUAUUAUAAUACGGGCGAUUAUUGAAGUUGAUAUUACUAAUUCUUGUAAAUGUUUUAAUGGAAGGACACUCGCAUCUGAAGAUAGCGAGAGUUUAACAAAUUGCGGAUAUGAUGAUGGAACGGUCCGAAAUGUGACAAGAAGAGCAUACUCAUCAAGGACCUAAAUCGCGUAACGAUCGCAAAUAAGUAAUGGCAAGGAAUGCCCGUUGGGGCAAGCAUUACCAGUUUGACUCUUGACAAGCUAGAUGGAGGCUUGGAAUGAAGCGGGUCAAACGGAGCAAGUACGAAAAGGAAAGCGUAAUUUGGAUGCGAGGGUAAUUGGUUUAUGAAUUAGCGAGGCUAUGAAUUAGCAUAUUAUAGAGACAAGGUCUUAAAACGGGUCAAUAUGUUGACCCGAGCCAGUCUUAGGUACUCAAGGAUUAUGGGUGACGAUCAAGCAACUUUUGAAUGACCGAACACAUACUCUUGAAGCUUCCGCAUAAAUCAAGUCGGUUUAAACAAUGUUUAUGAUGUAAACUGUUUGCUAAACAACUUUUGAAAUGUUUAAACGACGUACUCAAUUAUGUUAUGUUGUAUUAUUUUAAAAUUGUAACGUUUAAACAAACCCGUAUUUUUACAAAGUAUAUGUAGUCAUAAUUACAUGUUGU
rnacentral:lncRNA from 1 species